CCCCCGAUGGUCUAGUUGGAUAUGGCGUUCGGCUGUAAUAGGAAUUUCCAUUGUUACCGAAAGGUCGCCGGCUCGAUUCCGGCUCGGGGGA
rfam:Byssochlamys spectabilis No. 5 DNA, contig: PVAR5_00083_4.